AUGGGGCUGAUGGCGCUGAAGCGGCUCAUGUGCAUGAAGCCGGAGCAGAUGCGGAAACAUGGCCGUAGCCAAUCCCACGAUGGACUUGUUUCUUCAUUGGCUAGAAGAAACAGCAAACCUUCCGUUGAUCUAAAAACCAGCGAAGCCUCCGAAAAGGAUGACAAUUCUCAUUGUGGCAAAAGACCAAGUUACCUGGGUCCAGACCUUCCAGAGGAAAUCUGGCACCAUAUACAUUCUCUAGUGCCAAUGCGAGAUGAUGCCAGGGCUGCCUGUGUGUCUCGUGCCUUUCAUCACUCCUGGAGAUGCCAUCUUAAUCUCACCUUCACCAAGGAAACAAUGUGUUCAAAGAAAAGUUUAUUCGAGGGAACAGAGGACUCAAAUGAUAGAAGAAAUAGAAGAGAGUACAACAACAAUAUUGACCAUAUUCUGACGAACCAUAGAGGCGUUGGUGUGAAGACGUUCAUACUUGAAUUCCAUGGUCCUUACAAUACCAAAUCCUACAAUCGUCUCAAUAGUUGGCUUCAGAUUGCUAUUACACCAGUGAUGGAAGAACUUACCCUUAUACUGUUGUCGGAGAAGGCAAAAUACGAGUUCCCUUGCUCACUUUUAUCUGAAAAAGGUGGAAACACUAUACGGCAUCUCCACCUUGACAAUUGUGUAUUGCGUCCCACAGUUGCCCUUAAUUUGAGAUGCCUGACAGAGCUGUAUCUGUAUCAAGUGCGUAUUACGGGGGAUGAGUUAGGCUGCCUUCUUUCCAAUUCAUUUGCUCUGGAGAAAUUGACACUCAUAUAUUGUUAUGAUAUAAUUCGCCUUGAGAUACCUUGCCUGCUGCAGCGGCUAAGCUACAUGGAGGUGUUUGAUUGCUUGAGACUUCAAGUUAUAGAGAACAAAGCUCCAAAUAUCUCCAGCUUUCAGUUUGCAGGUAAUGAAGUACAACUCUCACUUGAAAAAUCAUUGCAAGUGAAGUCCCUUAAGUUGGACCAUAGGUGUGUCAUCAGUUAUGCUAUUGACAAGCUUCCAUCCAGUGUGCCAAAUCUGGAGAGACUCAACAUAAUAUCUCCUCGUGAGAUGGUCAACGCACCGAUGGUACCUAGCAAAUUUCUCCACCUCAAGUCCUUGAGUAUUACUAUUCGUGGGUGGUGGAGCCUCAACAGGGAAUAUGACUUUGAUUUCUUUCCUGGAUGCUUCUCCUUCCUUGGAGACUUUUGUCUUGUCUGUAUCAGUGGAGAAGAAGUAUGA
rnacentral:rRNA from 1 species